rnacentral:rRNA from 1 species
UACAGAGGAUGCAAGCGUUAUCCGGAAUGAUUGGGCGUAAAGCGUCUGUAGGUGGCUUUUUAAGUCCGCCGUCAAAUCCCAGGGCUCAACUCUGGACAGGCGGUGGAAACUACCAAGCUGGAGUACGGUAGGGGCAGAGGGAAUUUCCAGUGGAGCGGUGAAAUGCGUAGAUAUCGGGAAGAACACCCGUGGCUAAGGCGGCUCUCUAGUACGGUACUGACGCUGAGACGCGAAAGCGUGGGGAGCGAACAGG